CCACAGGAAGGGUAUGGCAGCACACUCCUUAGCUCCCUAUUUAUUGCAACAGAGGAUGUGCACGGAGAAGCACCCGUCACUCAGAAGGGUGAGUUCCCAGCGGGGACCCCUGCACCCAGCACCUGGACCAAGGGCAACAAGGACCCUGACUCUCAAAGCCCAUGUUGUUUCCUCCGACGUUCCAAACCGUGAUAGUGGAGUUGCACGGUAUGGACUCUGUGGCGGCCUCUGGCCACGUCGUGUGCACUGGUUCCUGCAGCCUUGGCCUGGACAUUAACGCCGGGAGAAGCAGUGCUGGUGAAGAGAAGGAUCCAGAACCAAGCUCUGGGGAAGCAUCCGACGUGUGACUCUCAGUCUUUUGGUGGUGUGGUCCUUUUAUGUUUAUUGUAAGGACUGACAUGCUGGGACCCACGUCUCCUGAACAUGCCCCUUCUGGAGCCUGAGCUGCCAUGUUGGAGACCACGUGGAGAUAGAGACAGAUGCUCAAGGAGCCCCCACCAUUGCAGCCCCCAGCCCAGGUGCCAGACGUGGAGUGAGGAGCCUCGGAUGACCCCGCCACAGAAUCUGAGUCUUCUGGCUGAGGCUUGGGCAUCACGGAGUGGACAACAGCUGUCCCUGCUGGUCCCUGUCUGAAUUCCUGACCCACAGGACUCAUGAACAUAAAUAAUGGUCACCACUGAGUUCUGGGGUUGUUUGUGACACAGCUACAUUAACUGGGGCAUACUGUGUCUUGAUCAGCUUCUCUCCACCUGAGCCACACGUGAACACUGCAUCUGGGUCCUGUUCACUGUUUGGUGGCCUUAGGGGCUGGACCAAGGGAGGGGUUCAUCUGAGUGGCUUUCUUUCUGUUGGGAUGGCUAAGGCUGGAGGCUCUUCUGCAUGAGGCUGGGUUUCCACAGGGUAAUUUUGCCUUGGCCUCAGCCAGGACUCACAGGUUUUCAGAUCAGAGUCUAGGUGGUUUUCUUUGCUCAGGGUACCUGCACCAUGCGGGUAUGAUGAAUCUGUGUACCACUGACCUGGUUUAUAAUAAUCUCUCUGUUCUUGAACUUCAUGUACGUGAAACCAUA
rnacentral:lncRNA from 1 species